UUUUCUUUUUUAGAUUAACUAGUUACAAGAGCAGAGGGGGAACUAAAUUUUGAAAUUUAACGGAAAAACGCACACAGUUUAAGAUACAUUUCGAAUAAAUCGAACCAUAGCUGGCAACACAAAUUGGAGACUUUUAAUAGUAUGGUUUACAGAUUAAUUAAUAUUCCUAUGAAUAAAAUAGAUUUUGAUAAAGAACUGAGCGUUAUAAGAGAAAUAGCUAAAUUUAAUGGGUAUGACGAAAAAAUAAUUUCAAAAUUAGUCCGAACACAAAAGUGGAAUAAAUAAAGGAAGGCAGCUAGUACACUAAUUAAUGUGGGGAAACAAAAAGUAAUUAGAUAUCACCCAAUUGAUAUUAUCCGGGCAUCCAAAAUGGACGAGCAAGGAUUUUUAAAAAUUUUGGUAUUAAUUUAGAAACAUCUAGGAAUAAUAAUUUAAGGGAUUUAGUAGGUAAUCCUAAAUAUAAGGUAGAAGAAGGGGGUAAAUCAGGCAUUUAUAAAAUACAAUGUGAAAGUUGUAAUAAAUGUUACGUAGGGCAAACAAAAAGAAGUAUAGGGGUCAGGAUUAAAGAGCACUUAACAUUAAAAAUCAAGUACUCGAGAAAUCUCCAGUGGCUGAAAAUUUAUUGACAUAAUCACUUCAUUAAAACCAUAAAAUUAAUUAAAAACGUAAAUAAUUACAAAGAACUUAAGGAAGUCAAUAGAAAUGUAUAAAAAUAAAAACAAUUUAAUUAAUUGGGAUCUUGGCCUACUGAACAAUUCAUUAUUAAACUUGUGUAAAAACUGGCAAAAUGUGAUCAUAUUAUUCAGUGAUGACGUGACUAGUAGAUAAGGUCACUAGGAAUAUAUAAGGGAGUUUUUUCUAGUCGAGAUUUCAGUGUGUGUUUAGAGUUGAUUGUACGGUAACAUUGUUUAAACAAUGUUUCAAACAUUUCGGAAACAAUUGUUUCCGAAAUACGUAUACACGAUUUUUCAGUAUUUUUUUGUGCCUUUUUGAGUUUAAUGUUUUUUAGUUUUUAAAUUAAUAAUAUUUUUAAUAUAGUUUUAAUUUUAUUUAAUUAAUUAGCCACAAGUGAUCUUUUUUUAUAUAUUAUUUAAAGUUUUGAAAAUACUACAUAAGUUAUUUUGUUUGCUUAGUUUUAUCAAAAUGUGAUUUGUCAAUCACAUAGCAAGGGUCUUCGUUAUUAUUAGCUUUGCAAACAUGCAAAAUUGUUUUAAGUGUUUCCGCAAUAUUCAGAAAAGCAUUCUGCUCAAGUAUUGAACAUGUUGAAUUUAAACUUAAAAUGAUGUUUAAAGAGCAUCGUUUUAAUUAUAAAAUUACAAAUAAUCAAUAAAUAUUCAGAAUUUUUCAUAUAAAAUGAUAAUUUAUUAAAAAAUUACAUUUAUAAUUAUAUUUUCAUAUUAUUCGUAUAGACCAUCAACAUUGAGAGCUUAGUAUAUUAUAUAGACGAACACACAAAAAAAAAACAUAUAUGUGAUAUAGUUGUUUCUGAUGUGGUUAAAUCUAUACUUUAGGGAAUAAAUUAAUUUACAAAAAUAAAUAAUAAUUAGUAGUAUACUUUAGUGUGUAUAUAAUAUAUCCCCAUUAAAAAAAAUUAAAUAUUCUAAAAUUG